UUUCCUGGAAGUGGCUGAACAUCUGCCUGCUGAUGGGAGGAGCUCAGUUGACUGAGUCCAAGAUUGACUGAGUAGAGCUGCUAAGGGCUGUCGCGGAGAAGGAAGUAAGGAUCUGCCUCUCCUUCCCUGGGAAAUUGCUUUCCAGGUGAGAGUCUCAUGCUUGGUGCCCACCUGAGCAAUACUUCAUCUGCACAGCAGCCAGAUCUGCUCCCAGGCAUGUACCACCUUGGUUCUGCCAGUGAUCCUAAACCACUGACUUGCCUUUUGGAUUGACCCUGGACCAGCCUCAUCAUGAUGGAUUUGCUGUGUGAUCACAGACCUCAGGCUGAUCACUGCCUUCAGACCUCAUCCUGAUCCUGACUUACUGAUUCAACUCUCAGACUCCGUGACAGUGAGAAGUCAAAGGCUUCUCACUCUGAAGAGCGUGAACUCAGCAAGUCCUGAGAAACCGUGGCAACCACCAGUCAAACUCCAG